AUGCAAAGCAAUCAGGAAGAACCAGCCCCUGGGCCUGGGGAAACUGUCAGGAGCAGUGACAUCACAGGAAAAACCACCAACCAGGGCCAAGGAGACCAGAGCCCAGCCCCUCGCCCAGAGGAUCUCAGUCAGAGGCCCCAUUUCAGACCCCAGGCUAGCAUGGGCUGCAGGCUGCUCUGCUGUGCGCUGCUCUGCCUCCUGGGAGCAGUCCCCAUGGACACCGGAGUUACCCAGACACCAAAACACCUGGUCAUGGGAAUGACAAAUGAGAAGUCUUUGAAAUGUGAACAACACCUGGGGCACAAUGCUAUGUACUGGUACAAGCAGAAAGCUAAGACGCCACCAGAGCUCAUGUUUGUGUGCAGCUAUAAGGAAACCUCUGUAAAUGAAAGUGUGCCCAGUCGCUUCUCACCUGACUGCUCCGACAGCUCUCAGUUAUACCUUCACCUACACGCCAUGCAGCCAGAAGACUCGGCCCUGUAUCUCUGUGCCAGCAGCCAAGACACAGCCUUGCAGAGUCACUGUCUCCCUGUGCAGAAACCUUUGGGGCCUGGCAGGAAGCUGUGGGGAGCACGGAGGGCUUGGGUGACCACUUCCUGCAAGAGCCCCAACAGAAGCUUCAGAACAUCAUAG